UGCACUUGGUGAAGUCACCUUAGAAUCGCAAGGGUGGACGUGUGCAAAAAAUUGCACACGGUGCAAAAUCUAAAUACAAAUAAAAAGGACGUGUACAAAUUGCAUUUAUUUAUGAAUGCUUGAGGUGAAGUCAAGAUGUGUUUCGAGUACGGGCGCGUUUUAAUGUUUCUUUAAUAAUCAAAUAAAAAUCAAAUUAAGUGUUGGACCGCUAGUGAAGUUUAUGUUCCCCUGAAAUUCCUUGUGUGUUUUGGACUAUGACGCCAAACGAUAAGACAGGAAUUUGCUAAUCGGUACGUUUAUUUUAAUUAACUUUAUACUGAACACAAAUGAUAAAAGGUGGUCGUGUUAAGGAUGAAAUGUAAUAAUAAUAAUUGUGGAAAGUAUAGGUACAUCUGAUUGUUGUGAUGUCAUUAAUACGAAAAUCGAAAACGAAGCAAAAUCGACGUAGAUGAGUAUGGCCUUAAAGACGAAGACGAGGACCAAGCAGUACCAGAAAGAAUCCAUAUUCUACAAUCACUCAAUCACAAUUUUUGGCAACAGGUGAGUGACACACUGUUAAUGGAAUCAAUCAAUCACAAAUUGAUGACUCGACGAAAUAUGAAGGAAAUUGUUGAGGAGGGGUCACAUCAAUAAUAACCCACUAUGCCAGUACGUAGUAGAUGGGAAUGAUUUCGACGAAAGUGAUAAUAUGGGAGUGACUGAGUAUGGGACAUUCAAGAAGAAAGAGUUUCCAGUGGGUGAACAAAUAUGUGAAAUUUGGAAUUGCCGACAAAUGUGAAUAAAAAUCCUUGGGGACCAAGUGGCCAUGAAGCAAAUGAGCACCUAACGGGCGAAGCUAUGGGAAGGACCAGCGCGACUGAUCCACACCUUGAUCACUCCAACAUCCGCGUCAUCAAAGAGGAGAGUUGGUAACCACUACCAUCAUACAAGCAGGGCAGCUGAGUAAACUGGUUGGCAGCGCUGCAAGGAAGCUCAAAUGGAUGUCCUCAGAAGAUAACGAUGCAAUUACAAGACACCGAAAUCAAGCAGGUAGCGGUCAAGGUUGGACGAGGCUCAAGGAAGUGUGGCUCCACCAGAUGGGGACAGUCUUGCAUCACAGGUACUGACAAAUCUAUGAAAACUACAUCCGGUACUUGCAUUGGCGAAUACAAACCCUUGGUGCACUUGUAAGUAGUGGUGAUUACACACCAGAUAGUAGCGAGGCCAAAUGUAAAACCAAUACGCGACAACUGGCAACAGUAGAUGUUCCGCCGCUGGACAGAAGGAUAAUUUACAGGGUGAGCGAAAGUUAAACUAUGAACGUUUGAGAAAAGGUCAUGAUGUGUUUUGAUAAUGUGUUGUCAAUUUACCUACUUGCUUUAACAUUUAGUAGUAAUAAUUUCUGCGUAAGUUUGGUGCUGGAGGUAAUUUUGUAAACUGUUUGAUGAGUGUAAUGUAUUGUGUUUUUGCUGUCGUUUCCGGGACAAAUGAACAUGUCCUCUACCUGUCUCUGAAGAGUUUCUGUAUGGUCCGUUAUUUGAACAAUUAAAUUGCAAUAUGGGCAUUGUUGGUUGGUAAGGGUAAGCACGCACUUUAUUAUUACGAUAAUCAUUCACACCAGAUACUAUUAAAUUGCAAAAAAUGGGUGUGCUUUAAGUGUAGCAAUUUAAAUGAACCAGAAGAAGAAGGAGAUCAGAUGAAAAUUUAGAAAACAACCCAAUAUCUAAUGGGAAUGAACAAUAAGUAUAUAAAUGCAACUAAUUUUAAACUAAAACUGUUUUGAGUGGUAUAAUUAAUUAAUUUAACUUUUAAAAACAAAUAAAAUAUCCAAAGUUCACUUUAUAAUACCAAAAAUUAGAAGUACGAAUUAAAUAAGGGUAACGUUAAUUUAUGUCUAGUUUUCCAUUAGUGUACCAAACUGGAAAUUGCAUACACAGAUAAUUUCGAUGAUUUUGGCAUACCAUUAAGACCACUGAAAAACUAACGGAUACAUUAAAAUGAUUAGUGCAAACUUCACAAACCUUUUCACAGCAGCCCAUUUUUCAAAAACCAAAAUUUUAUUUUAUAUUUUUUAAAAAUUUCUAAAUUAAAUUAAAUUUUGAAUCACUGCAAGCAGUAGGUUCCCAGUUCUUCUUUCUUUAUGCAACUGGAGCCUGUCUUUGUCCGUUUAGUGUAAUUGUUUCGGUCGAAAUUUUUCCCCGUGUAGGGACGGGGAAAGAAUAACCCUACCGCAGGGGCACUGCGUGUCGUAAGAGGCGACUAAACAACGGCAAGUCUGCCACAACCUUGAGGGAGUGAACGUGGGAUGUGGUUGUGGUUUGACACGCAAUAUCUGCAACCCUUUGCUCGCUAAAUUUACUAGUUUUCUGUAAAAUUACUCGUGCAGUUCGUUUUGGAAAUUUCUUCUGUCAGCAAUGUUCGGCAUCCUCCUCCAAUUUGGACCCUUGCCAGGAUGGCAUUUUCAAUUCCAACAAAGGAGUUUUCACGUGGCGGUUCAUAUUCAUCUUUUGAUUGAUGUUUGUUUUUGUGUUUCGAUUGCAUCGCCCAAGGCUUUGCCGCUGACCUCGUGCUCAUUCUCUUUCGUUAUUCUGGCCCGAGAUUUGACCCUGCGCUUCAGGUUAGCAUCUUCAACGUCUUUAACACCUACGAUAUUUCACCGCCUGACUAUUCUUGGUGAGGUGACAUUUUCCGUAUCUUUUGAGAGAGAUAGAUAUUUCACCAGGGUUAACGCAAAGGCAAUUUUGCCAUGUCGGUCGUAACUUGCAAUCAGUUUCCCAUGUUUAUGUACAUCAUUGAGAAUUCCACAAUUUAAAGAUUUAUUUCUUCUUUUUCUCAUUGUUAGGCAUCUUCGGGUCGGAUUUAUUUUGAUAAAUACUACUAAUGACCAAUUAUACAAUUGUUUUCCGUCGAUUAGAUUUCUUAAAGGGUUGAUUGGGGUUUCUGCUUUUAUUACAAUAGGAAGUUUUCUGUUUGCCCAGUGGAAAUGGUUCGUUCGCGUUCGGUUCAGACUCCUCAUUAAUUUUUCGAUGUUUUUAUAGGUGGAUCAGGGACUCGUUUGGUAUCUUUCUGAGUUUUCUGGGUAAAUAUUUUUCGACAAUUAGAUAUUUCGCAUGGUACUCUCUACGUAGAAUAGGUUUUAGCACAAAUUCUCUUGUCUUCGGUUAUCGGAACGGGAUUCUUGCCCGUAUUCACAGAUGCAGUACGCGUGAUAUUCGCUCAUUUGGGUAUUUCGUCGACUGCUUUUGGAGGCACUGUACAUGAUCAGGCUGUUUCUUUUAGAAUUUUUGGCGCUCUUUUUCUGUACAGACAUGUACGCACUAUUUCCAUUUACACUAUCUACUUGUGACAUUUUCGAAUUUGUCUAAGAGGUAUACGUGUUGCUGAUCAUCUCAACUGAAAGUUGCUCGAACCGUUCCUUGGUUUUAUAAUUUGGAGCAAUUAUUUCAGAAGCACUCGCUUGUUCACACUUGAAUGCAGGGGAGUUGAGAAAGUGAAUCAUUUGACUAAGUGAUUCACUUUCGUCGGCAUUGAGUUUUUCAAUAGUUGUUUAAUGACUUUGUAAUCACUUGUCGUUAGCACUCAAAUUUUUUGACAGACUAUCAAGAUCGGGCACUGUUUCUGUAUUUUGUCUAAAUCAUCGUUGAGCGUGGAAAGAUCAUAGUGCGUGUCCGUUAAUUGUCCAUUCUCCCAUUUGAUUCCGUUUCGUCGUCAAUGUGUCCAAUCUCUCGCUUUUUUUGUUUUUACUUCCAUUGAAUCAUUAAUUAAACUCAAUUCACAGUCUUGUUCAUCUUGCUUUGGAAAUGACUAAUGUUGAUUGUUGGGUAAUUUGUAGGCAGCUCGUUUUCCGCAACGACGAUGGCUUUUUAUGCAAAUGAUUAUUCUUAUUACUUAUGUUGGAAUUCACAUGAACAAAAUUAAUGAACCUGAACAAGUAAUAAGACUUAAACUACAUCUCUUUAAAGAAUAGGACGGUAUCUAACAAUAUAACAAUAUUUCGAAUGAACAAUAAUCCGUACGAAUCAUUGUUCGUUCGAUCCCUCUCCCACGCCUUUUCUAAUGAGGGAUGGGUCGAACGAACAAUGAUUCGAAUAAAUCACCUAUCCUAUAGUCUGUCCACAAAUCACCCAAAAAUCAAGACCAGGCAUUUUCAAGGCAAGAAGCACAAAACUGAGUCGAGUUUCUUGGAAGUAGAAACGAACGUGGCAAUAGACUCAUCUGGAGACGUUGAUGACUAAACGCAAUCCAAUGGGAGAGUUGACAAUUAACGGACACGCACCGUGGUCCUAUACAUUCCAUACUCAAUGAAGAUUUAGACAAAACACAGAAGCCGUGCCCGAUCUUGAUGAGCCGUCAAAAAAUUCGAGCGCUAGCGACAAGUGGUUACAAAAUUAUUGAACCACUAUCGAAGAACUCGACGCCGAUGAAAGUGAAUCCCUUAGUCAAAUUAUUCACGUUCUCAACUCUCUCGCAUUCAAGUGUGAGCAAGCGAGUGCGUCUGAAACAAUUGCCCCAAAUUAUGGAUCCACGUAACGGUUCGAGCGAUCUUCAAUUGAGAACGUCAGCACGUAUACCUCUCAGACCAAUUCUGGAAUAGUAUAAGUAAAUAGUGUAGAUGGAUAUAGUGCGCUCAUGUUUGUACAGAAAACAGCGCCAACGAUUCUGAGAAACAGUCUGACUAUGUACAGAGUCUCUAACAGUCGACGAAAUACUCAGAUGGGGCAAAUACCACGCCUACUGCAUUUGUGAAUACAGGCCAGAAUCGUGUUUUGUUAACCGGAGACAAGAACAUUUGUGCUUCAACCUAUUUUACUAAGAGAGCACCAUGCCAAAUAUCUCAUCGUCGAAAAAUACUUACACAAAAAACUGAGGAAGAUGCCAAGCGCGUCGCUGAUCCACCUGCAAAAACGUGGAAAAGUUAAUGAGGAACCUGAGCCGAACGCUAACGCACAAUUUCCACUGGACAAACAGAAGAGUUUCUAUUGUAAUAAAAGCACAAACACCAACCAACCCUCUAAGAAAUCUAAGCGACGAAAAACCAUUGUAGCAUUGGUAAUUAGCGGUAUUUGUCAAAAUAAAUCCGACCCGAAGAUUUCUAACAAUAAGAAAAAAAGAAAUAAAUCUUCAAGUUGUGGAAUUCUCAACGAUGCAGAUACACAUGAAAAACUGAUUCCAAUUUAUGACCGACAUGGUCAAAUUGUCUUUGCGUUAACUCGAGAAAUAUUUAUCGCUGUCAACAGAUACGGAAAAAAUCGCCCCACUAAGAACAACCAAGCGGUGAAAUACCGUAGGUGUUGAAGACGUGGAAGAUGCCGAUCUGUAGCACAUGGUCAAGUCUCCUGCCAGAAUAACGCAAGGGAAUGGGCAGGGGAAUAGCGAUAAGGCCUUGGGCGAUGCCAUCGAUCCACAAAAACAUCAAUCGAAAGGUGAAUUCGGACCGUCACGUGAAACUCUACGCGCAGCAUGGGUCCAAAUUGGAGAAGGGUAGGUACCGAACAUAGCCGUUGACAGAAGAAAUUUGCGAAACGAAAUGCACAGUGUUCAAAUUCGGUGAGCGAAGGGUUGCAGCUUUUGCAGUUGUUGGAGACGAUGAAGAUCAUUAUAAUGUACGCUCUUACCCCAACCAACAAUUACAACUCAAAUAACUCUAUUAAAAUUACCACUGGAGUAAUGGUUCCCCCAAAUGCUUUUUUGGGCUAUUGUGCAAUCGGCGAGUUUUCAGGAACUAUACACUAACAAAAACCGAUGCUAGUAUUAGGGCUUCCACUCCACUACGUCCAGCUAGCUUCAAAGGCUAAAACUACACAGAAACUCUUCAAAUAAUAGUAGGGUAGGGCGCACAAUAUAACUCAUCGUAAAAAUUGUUCAGAAUACUAUAACAUAACUACUCAUCAAGCAUGCCACUAGGCUAUAACAGCUCAAAUCGAUCCUUGUAUUAAAUUAGAUGAUAAUUUACUUAUAAGUAUAUAUGUAUUUCCAACGUAUUCUUGUAAAAUGAAACAGUGUAACGUCGAUAUACUAUAUUUAAUUGUCAUUUAAAUUUAGCUAUGUAAUAAUUAGGUAACGUCUGAGGCAACACAUCCGAGUAUCUAAUCCAUGCAAGGAAGCACAAUCAAUAAAUUUUGCCAAUAA